GAUGAACGCUGGCGGCGUGCCUAACACAUGCAAGUCGAGCGAUUCUCUUCGGAGAAGAGCGGCGGACGGGUGAGUAACGCGUGGGUAACCUGCCCUGUACACACGGAUAACAUACCGAAAGGUAUGCUAAUACGGGAUAACAUAUUUUGAUGGCAUCUUCAAAAUAUCAAAGCUCCGGCGGUACAGGAUGGACCCGCGUCUGAUUAGCUAGUUGGUGAGGUAAUGGCUCACCAAGGCGACGAUCAGUAGCCGACCUGAGAGGGUGAUCGGCCACAUUGGAACUGAGACACGGUCCAAACUCCUACGGGAGGCAGCAGUGGGGAAUAUUGCACAAUGGGCGAAAGCCUGAUGCAGCAACGCCGCGUGAGCGAUGAAGGCCUUCGGGUCGUAAAGCUCUGUCCUCAAGGAAGAUAAUGACGGUACUUGAGGAGGAAGCCCCGGCUAACUACGUGCCAGCAGCCGCAGUAACAC
rnacentral:rRNA from 1 species